AUUGAACGCUGGCGGCAUGCCUUACACAUGCAAGUCGAACGGCAGCACGGGGCAACCUGGUGGCGAGUGGCGAACGGGUGAGUAAUGCAUCGGAACGUACCUUUCAGUGGGGGAUAACGUAGCGAAAGUUACGCUAAUACCGCAUAUUCUGUGAGCAGGAAAGCAGGGGAUCGCAAGACCUUGCGCUGAUUGAGCGGCCGAUGCCAGAUUAGCUAGUUGGUGAGGUAAAGGCUCACCAAGGCGACGAUCUGUAGCGGGUCUGAGAGGAUGAUCCGCCACACUGGAACUGGGACACGGUCCAGACUCCUACGGGAGGCAGCAGUGGGGAAUUUUGGACAAUGGGGGCAACCCUGAGCCAGCCAUGCCGCGUGAGUGAAGAAGGCCUUCGGGUUGUAAAGCUCUUUCGGCCGGGAAGAAAUCGCACGGGCUAAUACCCUGUGUGGAUGACGGUACCGGAAUAAGAAGCACCGGCUAACUACGUGCCAGCAGCCGCAGUAACAC
rnacentral:rRNA from 1 species